rnacentral:lncRNA from 1 species
GUUUGAUACUGUAAAUUAACGAUGCACAUAACGGCUUCUUAAUAUUGUCACAUAUAGUAUCUUUUAGCCGAAAAGUGUAAAUUGCUCAAAGUAAAUGAUAUGCUUGAAAAAGUAGUUAAAAUUAAACAGUUAAUAUCUACAGAUACUUAUAUCGUCGACAACACGAUUAUAGGUUCCAAAUUUGAGGUAAGUCAUUUACACGAUUUAAACGAUGCACGGCGGUUUACAAACUUGAUAGAUAAAACAAUAAAAAAAAUCAAUUUAUCAGAAACGAAACAGAGAGGAAUAAGAUACAAAAUGAAAAUUCAAACUCAUAAGUCUAAAAGGAACCGACAAUGCCACUACAAAAAAAAACAAGAACCAAACAAAAGACAAACACAUAUAUUAACAAUCCUUUCGAAAAAAAGGCUUUAUCUCAUAAAAAUAAGCCAAGCACACCUUGGAUUUAGUGUCAAGUAAACCUUAGCUAUUCAGCUUCCCAUUGCACCAUGUGACGAAAAAAGUAUUGCCCUAGAACAUCUUUCAUUAACAUUUCCGGAAGGGUGGAGUAGGGUGUCCGACCCCAACUUUGGACUUAGUUUAAAAAGAAAAUAAGCCGAAGCACACCCUGUAUUUUUUGUCAAGUAAACUUUAGCUAUUCAGCUUCUCAUUGCACCUAGUGGCGAAAAAAGUAUUGCCGUAAAACAUUUUUUAUUUACAUUUCCGUAAGGGUGGGGUAAGGUGUCCGACCCCAACUUUGGACCUAAUUUAAAAGAAAACUAAUCCGAAUUACACCCUUGAUUUAUUGUCAAGUAAACCUUAGCUAUCCAGCUUCCCAUUGCACCAAGUGGCGAAAAAAGUAUUGCCGUAGAAUAUUUUUUAUUGACAUUUCCGUAAUGGUGAGGAGAGGUGUCCGACCCCAACUUUGGACCCAAUUUAUAAAAAAAGAAGCCGGAGCACACCCUGGAUAUUUUGUCAAGUAAACUUUAGCUAUUCAGCUACCCAUAUAACUUAGUGGCGAAAAAAGUAUUGCCGUAGAACAUUUUUUAUUGACAUUUCUGUUAGGGUGGAAUAGGGUGUCCAACCCCAACUUUGGACCUGAUUUAAAAAAAAAUAAGCGGAAGCACACCCCUUGAAUAAAUGACAAGUAAACCUUAGCUAUUCAGCUUCCCAUUGCACCUACUGGCGAAAAACGUAUUGCCAUAGAACAUUUUUUAUUAACAUUUCCGUAAGGGAAGGGUAGGGUGUCCGACCCCAACUUUGGAUCUAAUUAACAAAAAAAUAAGCCGAAGCACACCCUGAAUUUUUUGUCAAGUAAACUUUAGCUAUUUAGCUUCCCAUUGCCUUAUAGUGGCGAAAAAAAAUAUUGCCGUAGAAGAUUUUUUGUUAACAUUUCCGUAAGGGUGGAGUAGGGUGUCCGACCCCAACUUUUGACCUAAUAAAAAAAAGCUAAGCCGAAGCACACCCUUGAUUUAUUGUCAAGUAAACCUUAGCUAUUCAGCUUCCCAUUGCACCUAGUGGCGAAAAGAGUAUUGCCGUAGAACAUUUUUUAUUAACAUUUCCGUAAGGGUGGGGUAUGGUCUCCAACCCAACUUUGGACCUAAUUUAAAAAUAAACUAAGCCGAAGCACACCCUGGAAUUAUUGUCAAGUAAACCUUAGCUAUUCAGCUUCCCAUUGCACCUACUGGCCGUAGACCAAUUUUUAUUAACAUUUCCGUAAGGGUGGGGUUAAGUUGUCUGACCCUAACUUUGGACCUAAUUUUUGAAAACAAUAAACCGAUGGACACCCUUAAUUUUUUGUCAAGUAAACUUUAGCUAUUCAGCUUCCCAUUGAACAUAGUGGCGAAAAAGGUAUUGCCGUAGAACAUUUUUUAUUAACAUUUUUGUAAGUGUGGGGUAGGGUGUCCGACCCAAACUUUCGACCUAAUUUGAAAAAAAAGCCGAAGCACACCCUGGAGUUUUUGUCAAGUUAACUUUAGCUAUUCAGCUUCCCCAUUGCACAUAAUGGCGAAAACAGUAUUGCCAUUGAACUUUUUAAUUAACAUUUCUCUAAGGGUGGGGUAGGGUGUCCGUCUAAACUUUGGACCUAAUUUUGAAAUAAAUAAGACGAAGCACACCUAGAAAUUAAUGUCAAGUAAACCUUAGCUAUUCAGCUUGCCAUUGCACCUAAUGUCGAAAAGAGUAUUGCCGUAGAAAAUGUUUAUCAACAUUUCCGUAAGGGUGGGGUAGGGUGUCCGACCCCAACUUUGGACUUAAUUUUAAAAAAAAACUAUGCCGAAGCACACCCUUGAAUUAUUAUAAAGUAAAUCUUAACUAUUCCGCUUCCCAUUGCACCUAGUGACGAAAAAAGUGUUGCCGUAAAACAAUUUUCAUUAACAUUUCCGUAAGUUAGGGGUAAGGUGUCCUACCCAAACUUUGGAACUUAUUUUAAAACAAAAUAAGCCGAAGCACACC